rnacentral:rRNA from 1 species
AGGAUGAACGCUGGCGGCGUGCCUAACACAUGCAAGUCGAACGAAGCAUUUGACCGGAGUCCUUCGGGACAAAGGUUAUCUGACUUAGUGGCGGACGGGUGAGUAACGCGUGGGUAACCUGCCCUGUACAGCGGGACAACAGCGGGAAACUGCUGCUAAUACCGCAUAAGCGCACACUGGCGCAUGCCGGAGUGUGAAAAGCCAUUACGGUACAGGAUGGACCCGCGUCUGAUUAGCUUGUUGGCGGGGUAACGGCCCACCAAGGCGACGAUCAGUAGCCGGCCUGAGAGGGCGACCGGCCACAUUGGGACUGAGACACGGCCCAGACUCCUGCGGGAGGCAGCAGUGGGGGAUGUUGCACAAUGGGGGAAACCCUGAUGCAGCCGACGCCGCGUGAGCGAAGAAGUAUUUCGGCAUGUAAAGCUCUAUCAGCAGGGAAGAAAAAAGACGGUACCUGACUAAGAAGCCCCGGCUAACUACGUGCCAGCAGCUGC